rnacentral:lncRNA from 1 species
GGAGCGCAAGUUAAAGCUGGUCCAGCCUCUCUCUGUAGAGCCCCGCCUCUUUUUCCAUACCGCCCUCUGGGAGUAGGGGUGUGCAGCAGGCUCCUCCCGCCCCCUUCCUCUGAGUGACAGGACCGUCGAUCGCAACAUUUCCAGGUGGACACGUAGUUUGUUGGCCCUUGCGUUGGCUGAGCUGAGUAAGAAAAAGAAACCAAGAGUUUAUUGUAUCUGGAAUUGAAUUUGCCAGGAAUGUGAGCACAGCUUCCUCUGUGAAGAUCUUGCCUUUGGAAACAUCUUACCCCUUGGCAGCUCUCCAGAGUUCAAACUUGGCAGCCUCAAGGACACAACACAAGGUGUGUUUAUUUGAUUUAGCAUUUGGCAAAAGGUGUUUUGACUUGUGGUUUGUUUUCUUUCACUUUGUUUUUCUUGUUUUGGUUUGUUUGGGGCUAUGAACUUGAGAUCAAAUAUAGUUCUUUCUUAUAGAAGGCUGAAUUACAAUAGGAAAAUGUUUUUACUUGGAUUUAUUUUGUAAUAUUUGGGCAAAUUCUAAUAAAUGAAGCAAGAUCAUUAGAACUAUAAAUCUA